UGGAGGAACAACGCCAGUGGCUGCAGCCAGCUCUGGAGCCCUGGAUUCAGCCCCCGCAGGAACUACAGAGCUCUCCAUCUGCAUGCCUGGAGGCUCCAGGGCGGG
rnacentral:pre_miRNA from 1 species